GCGCGAAAACUCUACAAUGCUGGCAACAGCGAUAAGGGAACCUCGAGUGCCAGGUUACAAAUCUGGCUGUCGAGAUGCCUAAAAAGCAUUUCAUAGCAAGGGCCGGGCAAGACCGGUGCCAGCCGCCGCGGUAACACCGGCGGCUCGAGUGGUAACCGUUAUUAUUGGGUCUAAAGGGUCUGUAGCCGGCCGGAUAAGUCUCUUGAGAAAUCUGGCAGCUUAACUGUCAGGCUUUCAGGGGAGACUGUCUGGCUCGAGUCCGGGAGAGGUGAGAGGUACUUCAGGGGUAGGGGUGAAAUCUUGUAAUCCUUGAAGGACCACCAGUGGCGAAGGCGUCUCACCAGAACGGACCUGACGGCAAGGGACGAAAGCUAGGGGCACGAACC
rnacentral:rRNA from 1 species